GCGGGGGUAGCCAAGUGGUCAAAGGUGCAAGGUUGAGGGCCUUGUCGAUUAGUUCGUUCGAGGGUUCGAAUCCCUUCCCCCGCA
rnacentral:tRNA from 1 species